GGGCAAAACAGCCUUACACCUGGCUGUACCCAGUUAACAACCGAACUGGAAUGAUGUGCACUGUGUGCAAGAGGCACAGACAGCGUCAGAGGAACGGAGAGUACAUCUGGAGUGUUGUUCCAUGCACCAGCCUCCGGAAGGACCAUGUGCUACGUCAUCAUAAAUCGGAACAACAUACCGGAGCCUCCCUUAAAGAUCAGAAACGCUUGGCUGCGGAGGUGAACGGGGGAAUCAAGCAGGCCAUGGCAGAUAUGGUUUCCAUGAACCGAGAGGCCAUCAAAGCAGCAAUGAAGCUCGUCUAUCACCUAGCCAAGAAAGAAAUUCCCCACACUACGAACUUCAGAGAAAUGAUCAAGUUUGCCGGAUCAGAGUUAGGUAAGGGCAAAUUUAGCUUAUAUGUGGAAAUAAAUAAUUGACCUGCUGACCAAUGCCACCUACACAAUCACUACCAUCGCCAAUGAGUUCCUGGCAGUUAUUGCAGCCAUGGUUGAGGAGGAGACACUGGCGACGGUCAGGGACAGCCCCUUUUUGGGGCUCAUGUGUGAUGAGACGGUGGACAUAUCCACCACCAAUGAACUUGUUCUCUACUGCAGGUAUGUUACAGUUGAAGCAAAUGUUUGGUAAUAAAUUGCUAUGAUGUAAUUGUAAAAUAUGUGGCGUGUGACAUCUAAACAACUAUGUAUGUAAUAUCUGAUUAUUCUUCCCUUUUUGCCUAUGCCUGCUGCAGGUGCAUAGAUGGUGACGGCAACCUGCAGGUGAAAUUCCUGCAGGUCAUGCCACUUAAGGAUGGCAAAGCUGUCACCAUCAAGGAUGCCAUCACAGGGUACUUGGGAGAGAAGAACCUGUCCCUGCAGAAGGUGGCAGGGUUUGGCUCGGAUGGAGCUGCCUGUAUGAUAGGUGAGUUUGUGGUCUCUACAUUAGAUUUAAUACAUCCUGCAUUCCCUUAUCUAUCUUAAUCACUUAUCACAAAAUAAGAAGGAAAGGUAAUACAAUCCUAUUGUUCUAAAUAUUCCUUUCCAGGACGAAAAGGCGGUGUGGCCACGCUACUGAAACAGGACAAUGAAAAGAUUGUCAACAUUCACUGUGUGGCCCAUCGCCUUGCCCUGGCUGUUGGCCAAGCUGGAAGUCAGGUGAAGUACAUCGGAGAGACCUUCAAGCCCAACCUGUACACGCUAU
rnacentral:lncRNA from 1 species